UUCUUGGCUGUUAACUGGUAGCUCUUUGUUGGAAAGUAUUCUUCUUCAUCAUGGUUAUCAAACAAUUCCUGUUACAACAAAAGUGGCUGAUGUGUCAGUCCGUGUUGGCAUUGAGUUAUAGUUUGACCAGCAAGUGUGUCAGCCAAGUGAGAAGGUCCUGGACUGGAUCCAAACUUAAAUAGAUUGAACAAUUGCAUUUUGGCUAUUUGAUGAAUGUUAGAGAUUGAAUGAAGCAGCUUCAUAAAAGCUCAAAAGAAUCCUCAUCAACAUGCCAAAUUGAGCUCCAAUGGUUACCCACAUAAUGCCAAGACUUGAAGGUUGGAAAUUUAGUUAUCUUGAUAUUCUAAUGAUGGAUUUGGAUGGCGUCUUUACUUCAGAGUUAUGUAAGUAGAAAUUUGACAGUAAUGCCAUUUAGGAAAAUAACAAAAACUUUGAGAAAUGAAAUUUACGUGUUUGAAGAGGUUCUGAUA